AUGAACCACUAUGCCCGGCCUGAUUUUUAAAUUUCAGUGCUGUAUUCACUUAUCAAUGAGCAAUGCCUCAUUGGUAACGGUCACUAUUCAUCUCAUUUCCAGUACUGUCAACACUAUAAAAGGAAGACUUACAAUAUCCUGUAACGAAUGGGCAUGACUGCAUCCAGAAAUCUGAGACAGGUUUUCAUGUCAUGUACAGCUUUUUGUUAAUUGUUUAAAGCUGAAGAUGAACUCAAAUAAAACUUGUAACUCAGAAGCAUAGCCAAUUAGUCGUUUAAUCUAUUUUCUGAACUGCAUGCUUAUUUUAUGGAUGCAGAGUAGAUUGGUUGAGUGUGAGGACACUUAAAAAUAGCAUGAUACAGUUAUUGUAGGAAGUAUUAAUAUUUAAAAAUUGUUACAGCCAAGACCAAAAAGUGAGAACCACAAUUCAAUAUUUUCUAUAAAUUUCAUAAAUGUCUAUGUUUAAACAUUCCUGGUAAAUAUGUAUAAUCGUACACUUUUAAACUUUCUCUGAUAAAUUCAGUGAGUAUUCAAUAAUUGCUCAUUAUCAAAAGGUUGUGAAUUUGUCUCUCUUCCAGCCAGAUGACAGGAGCCUAGGAUUCCAAUGGUGUGCUCAGGACUGACAUCACUGGGGUCAAAGAUUCAGCUGCCAUGGUCCAGGCUCCAGGCUGGGGAGGAUGUUAGGGAUUGGUGUGGUCAGGACCAGCGCUGCUAUGACUGCGGAUUUAUUUGGCAUAUUUGGGACUGGGUGUGAUGAGACAGCAGCUGGCAUGUCAAGAGGUUGAGGGAGGGAGGAAGAAUGAACAAAUUAUUUAGGAUUAUGGGAGUCAGGUUUCUAUGAGAGAAGGAAGUUACAAAGAUGGAAAGGGAGACUAGAUUAACCUCAAAGGAUUGAAUUGAAGGUGUCAAUGUGAACUCAAAGUUUUCAAUACGUAUGUAUAUAAAUAGAUAUAGAAGUAGGUGACUAUUCUUGAAUGUGUGUAGACACACGUUUUCCUUUGAGCUGUUCACCAAUAAGACAGUGAGCCUUUCUCAGGUCUUCAUUUCCAUAUACCAUUUCCCAUUUAAAGAAACCAGGGCUCCUUGGAAAAAAGGGCUAAUUCUAGACUUGGGGUAGGGAGUAGGAAAAAGUGUAAGAUGAGCUCGUAAAAAAAAUAAGAGGGGAAAAAGCAAUGAGGCAUCUCUAAGGAACACAGAAGCCAGCUUGAAGAGACUCCCAAAAACCAAAUCGGGGAAAAUUUCAGCAUGAAAAUAAGUGACAAUAAUACACUGUCACUGAAUAAAGCAGGCAUUCAUGAAUCUAUACUGAUUUAAGUGAAUGAAGGAAUAGAGAAGGAAGAGCUCUUCCUUACAGUAGUAGGAUGCCAACCAAGGCAGAAGCCACGGACUCACCAUUUGACAACCAAAAUAGUAAUUGGUUCAGUCAAGAAUUGUCAAUAGACUAGCCCGUGACAAUUCGAUGAGAAACAAUACAUUUACAAUCUUUAAGAAUCUCCUCACAAAUUACUUCCUAAUUCUAAUUUUACAAUGGAGAAACCUGGUAUAUACUAUCUGAACCAAGUGACCAAAAUUAAUACUAUCAGGUAUAAGACAAAUUGACAUUGUGUGCAUCCUGGCAUGACACAUUUGAGUAUAGAGCAUCAUUUCUGUAGUAUUGGACAAAAAUGUCUAUCCUAAACCUUAUGGGUCUUAUCUAAUGAUAAACCAAAACUGAGGAACUUUCUACAAACUGGCCAAUCCUCCUCAAGUGUCAAGGUCAAAGACAAGUCUGAAAAGAUGUUCUGGACUGAAUGAAACAAGAGAUAGGGCAACUAAAUGCACUAUGUGGUCCUGGAUUGGGAUGCUGAAACACAGGAACAUUACUGAGGCAAUCAAAAUCAGCAGAUUGAAUGUGGUCUAUGGAUUAGAUAUCAUGAUGUCAAUGUCAAUCUCCUAAGUUUGAUGGUUGUACUAUGGUUACGUAGGAAUGCCCUUGUCUUAAGGAAACACACAGUAGAUAGAGGUAAUAAUGCAAAAAAUAUUUUGGUUGGGAUUACAUUGAAUCUACAAAUGUAAAUGAACAUCUUUACACGACUGAGUCUUCUAAUUCGUGUACAUUAUGGAGUACUACAUUUAUUUAAGAUCUCCUUAAAUGCUUCCUGACAUGGUCUAACAUUUUCUCCAUCAAGAUCUUGUACAUCUUUUGUUAGACUUAUUCUUAGGUAGAGUAUUUUGUAUUUUUUAAUGAUAUUGAAGAGAUCUUUCUAAAAACUUCCAUUUCUGUUAGUUGCUGAUAUCUAGGAAUACAACUGACUUACAUACUGAUUGUGAAUGUAGCAAAUUUGCUAACUCCUAGAUGUUAACUGAAUAGUCUACAUAUAUAAUCAUAUCAACACAUCACCAUAAUUUCCUGCCUGUAGGAAAGAAAAACCCACAGAAUUCCACUGACUAUAAGUUAUUUAACAAUAUACAAUGGUUGUCAUUUAGAGAGAUGUUUCCAGUUGUAUAAAUACUGUAACACAACGAUAGCUGGGAAUAGUGUAGCCAUAGUACCAUCUUUAAAUCACCCAAAUAACUGAGGUACAAUUCUAUCUGCUUGUGAGUUCACUAGGCAACAAGUCUCAGGGAUCAUAUAGUCUUUGUCUCUGUAUCAAAACAAAUACACUGCCUAAGGUACACUAAAAGUAAUUUAACAUACUGUACUCAUAAAUUCUAACUAAGUUCUCUGUAGGUAAAACAUGGCUAGGGAAGUUAUGAUCAACCCUUCAGAAAUGACUUCUUCUGAGUCGUUUGGACAAUACGCAUCAUCUUGGACAAUACGCCUCCCACAAGGCUUAAGGCUCUACGCUGGACAAAGUGCCAGGGAGCCCUAAAGGCAGAAAGGACCCAAAAGUGAAAUUCUCAUUUUUAAGCUGUGAGGGAAAACAGAGAAAUGAGUUUAUUACAUGAUAUAACCUUUGG
rnacentral:lncRNA from 1 species